rnacentral:rRNA from 1 species
AACGAACGCUGGCGGCGUGCCUAACACAUGCAAGUCGAACGGGAUGAGGGGGCUUGCUCCUUCAUUUAGUGGCGCACGGGUGAGUAACGCGUAGAUAAUCUGCCUGACGAUCCGGGAUAACAUUUCGAAAGGGGUGCUAAUACCGGAUAAGCCCACGGACUCUUCGGAGUUUGCGGGAAAAGGAGGGGACCUUCGGGCAUUCCGAUAUCAGAUGAGUCCGCGUCCCAUUUGCUAGUUGGUAGGGGAAAGGCCUACCAAGGCGACGAUGGGUAGCUGGUCUGAGAGGAUGAUCAGCCACACUGGAACUGAGACACGGUCCAGACUCCUACGGGAGGCAGCAGUGGAGAAUUUUGCGCAAUGGGGGAAACCCUGACGCAGCAACGCCGCGUGAGUGAUGAAGGCCCUUGGGUCGUAAAGCUCUGUCAGAGGGAAAGAAAUGUGGGCGGCUAAUAUCCGUUCCACUUGACGGUACCCUCAAAGGAAGCACCGGCUAACUCCGUGCCAGCCGCCGCCGUAAUAC